AUCAUGCUCGUUUAUUAUUUAUAGAUUUUUCUUCAGCGUUUAAUACUAUUCAACCAAUUAUUUUAGCUGAACGUUUGCUUUCUGAAUUUAAUGUCCCUAUAAGUGUUUGGUGGCCUGGAUUUUAGAUUUUCUGACCAGAAGAUCUCAAAUAGUACGGGUGAAUGGAGAACAUUCCAGGGAACUGCAUUCUUCAGUGGGCUGUCCCCAGGGUUGUAUUCUUUCACCUUUAUUAUUUAUUUUAUAUACAGAUAGGUGCAGAAGUCAAUAUCCAGACAGACAUAUUAUUAAAUAUGCCGAUGAUACAGUGGUGCUGAGUCUGUUAAAGCAAGGUGACACAGAGCAUGGGCCCAUUUUGAAUUAUUUUUUGGAUUGGUGUGAGAGUUCUCAUUUACAAAUUAACGUAUCCAAAACUAAGGAUAUGACUAUAGAAUUUUAUAAUUCUGUCGGAACUCCAUCUAAAGUAGUUAUUGCUGGUAAAGAGGUUGAGAAGGUCAGUUCAUAUAAGUAUUUGGGUACAUUAAUUGAUGAUAAACUUAGGUGGGUGGAAAACACAAAUCUUAUUAUAUCGAAAGCACAAAAACGGUUAUAUUUACUGAGGAAGCUUAAGUCCUUUGAAGUGGAUAAAUCCAUAUUGAUAAUGUUUUAUAGAUCUUUCAUUGAAAGUGUUUUAACCUUUGCUAUGAUCUGUUGGUUUUAUGGAUUAAAUGUUAAAAAUUACAGGAUCUGUACAGUUGGGUUUGUCUGCUUUGUGUGAGAGAAAUGUUCUUAGGAAGUCUUUGACUAUCCUAGAGGAUACAUCCCACAUUUUGUUUUUAGAAUUUGAAUUGCUUCCCUCAGGAAAGCGAUAUAGAGUGCCCAAGUGGAGGACUGUUAAAGCUUCUAGGUCUUU